rnacentral:lncRNA from 1 species
UUUAAGUAGCAAGUGGGAUGGACGAUAUGUAUCAGGAAAGGGGAAUAUUUCUGUAAAAGAAUCUUGACAAUUAGUACGACGGCGAUGCUGUCAGUGACUCGAGGGCCGUGGAAAAUGAUAAAUUUGUCAUAUGGGUAUUAGUUUAUUUUCAUGGUAGUUUCAUUUUAGAUUUAUGGAUUCUGACAGAAUGAUUGAUUAGAAGAAGGGAAUUAAUGUGCUGAUUCGAGGGAUUAGAAGAAUAGAUGAAAAAAGCAAUUUUUUACCUUCUACUUUAAGG